UACGUAGGGGCCUAGCGUUGUCCGGAUUUAUUGGGCGUAAAGAGCUCGUAGGUGGUUCGGCAAGUCAGUUGUGAAAUCUCCGCGCUCAACGCGGAGGGGUCAGCUGAAACUGCUGUGACUUGAGUCUGGUAGGGGAGUGUGGAAUUCCCGGUGUAGCGGUGAAAUGCGCAGAUAUCGGGAGGAACACCAGUGGCGAAGGCGGCACUCUGGGCCAGUACUGACACUGAGGAGUGAAAGCGUGGGGAGCGAGCAGG
rnacentral:rRNA from 1 species